UUUGGUGACGAUGGCAGAGAGGUCACACCCGUUCCCAUACCGAACACGGAAGUUAAGCUCUCUAGCGCCGAUGGUAGUUGGGACCUUGUCCCUGUGAGAGUAGGACGUCGCCAAGC
rnacentral:rRNA from 3 species